GCUAGAGUCCCUGGAGAGAAUUUGCUGAUCUUGAUUCACUGGUGGAGAGGUGAUCAGUUUCCCUGCUAGUGCCUUGAUCAGAAACAUAU
rnacentral:snoRNA from 1 species